rnacentral:rRNA from 1 species
AAACCAGCACCUCAAGUGGUCAGGAUGAUUAUUGGGCCUAAAGCAUCCGUAGCCUGCUCUGUAAGUUUUCGGUUAAAUCCAUUAGCUCAACUAAUGGGCUGCCGAAAAUACUGUAGAACUAGGGAGUGGGAGAGGUAGACGGUAUUCGGUAGGAAGGGGUAAAAUCCUUUGAUCUAUUGAGGACCACCUGUGGCGAAGGCGGUCUACCAGAACACGUUCGACGGUGAGGGAUGAAAGCUGGGGGAGCAAACCGGAUUAGAAACCCCGGUAGUCC